AAAAGAACCAUCAAGUAUGGUUGUGUUACUAACAAACAGAGGAUUGCAAUGAAACCAACAAUGACUGGAUAAACGUAAGUUUAGUGUGAGUAAUUACAUUGAAUGUUUCGUCGAAAGUUGAAGGAGACGGAAUUCAUGACACAAGCCGUUUAAAAAAUGUUUCGUGUAAUGCUAUAAAAAUUGAUUUUAUCGAACAAAAUGACCAUUUAUUUUGAAGAUUGGGCCUUUUGUAUUGCCAAAAGAAGAAGAUCUUCAAAGUGAACAUAUCGUGAAGAAGAGAUGAGUGGCUUCUUGGAGGCUACUUAGGGGUCUCAGGUGGUCUCCAAUCAAGUUGUCGAAACAUCUCAAGGAUGAUCAAUGGAAACAGGAUGCACCAGAGCUCAAUUUCGAGACUCAUAGCAAAGGGGC
rnacentral:lncRNA from 1 species